GACGAACGCUGGCGGCGUGCUUAACACAUGCAAGUCGAACGGAAAGGCCCUGCUUUUGUGGGGUGCUCGAGUGGCGAACGGGUGAGUAACACGUGAGUAACCUGCCCUUGACUUUGGGAUAACUUCAGGAAACUGGGGCUAAUACAGGAUAGGAGCUCCUGCUGCAUGGUGGGGGUUGGAAAGUUUCGGCGGUUGGGGAUGGACUCGCGGCUUAUCAGCUUGUUGGUGGGGUAGUGGCUUACCAAGGCUUUGACGGGUAGCCGGCCUGAGAGGGUGACCGGCCACAUUGGGACUGAGAUACGGCCCAGACUCCUACGGGAGGCAGCAGUGGGGAAUAUUGCACAAUGGGCGGAAGCCUGAUGCAGCAACGCCGCGUGCGGGAUGACGGCUUUCGGGUUGUAAACCGCUUUCGCCUGUGACGAAGCGUGAGUGACGGUAAUGGGUAAAGAAGCACCGGCUAACUACGUG
rnacentral:rRNA from 1 species